AUGAACAAUUCCUCUGGUAAUUUUUCAUGGGUAGGAAAUGAUAUCAUUUCUUUAAAAGAUUGUGGAAGCCUAGCAUUGCUUAAGUCGACAAAAUCAGCAUCUGUAGGUUUUUUGGUGUGUUACUCAAAGCAUGAUUGUCUUUGUGCAGAACAGAUCCAGUUUCUCACCUUUAACUCUGAUGUGGGAGAGUUAACUGAUACAAAGGGACUUGAUGUCAUGAAAAUAUAUAAUGGCCAGCUAACUCGGCUCCAGUAGCUUCAAAGAUCAAAGAUUGGGAAAGGUCCUUACAAUGGCAUUUUCAGGUGAGAUGGGAGUUUUCUAGCCUCUGCAAUAUCUGAUCUGGCAUCCCACAAUCUCAUAACAUUUCUGAUUUAAAAUGGCUUCAUUGCUAGAGGCUGGUAAUGCCAAAUGUCUUUUAUAUCUCAGAGCUCAGCUAAUGCACAGAGAUGACCCUUUACAAAGAGAGCUGUCUCAACUGGUACUUCUUAAGACAAAGGAGUGACAUAGAGAGGUCACAGUUGCUUUCUAAAACUUGCCACCACUUCUCUAGGCAGUUCUAGGGUGAUGUGUAAAGUCACUUUAACCUUUGUAGUUUAUGGGCCUUUUCUUGCCCAUGAGAUAGUCAGAAGCAUGGUAGUACAUGUCAUACCUGCCAGAAGUCCUGUGAGUAAAUUACUGAACACCCUGUAGGCACUCUAACCCUAAGUUUAGACUCAACUUUUGUUGGACAAACCUUAGAGAUCACCUGGUGCAACCAAUAUGGUAACCAUAGUUACCAAGUGAUUACUUGUUUGGAUAAAAGUAUUGUGUUAUCAAUAAAGUAUGAAACUUUGUUAAAGGUGUCCUUUUU
rnacentral:lncRNA from 12 species